rnacentral:tRNA from 1 species
GGGCUCGUAGCUCAGUGGAAGAGCACCACGUUCGCAACGCGGGGGCCGCGGGUUCAAAUCCCGCCGGGUCCA